CCUACGGGAGACAGCAGUGGGGAAUAUUGCACAAUGGGGGAAACCCUGAUGCAGCAACGCCGCGUGAGUGAAGACGUAUUUAGGUAUGUAAAGCUCCAUCAGUAGGGAAGAGAAUGACGGUACCUGACUCAGAAGCCCCGGCUAACUACGUGCCAGCAGCCGCGGUAAUACGGAGGGUGCAAGCGUUAUACGGAUUUACUGGGUGUAAAGGGAGCGUAGACGGGUGGUCAAGUCUGAAGUGAAAGCCCGGGGCUUAACCCCGGAACGGCAUUUGAAACUGGCCGGCUGGAGUGCAGGAGAGGCAGGCGGAAUUCGUGGUGUAGCGGUGAAAUGCGUAGAUAUCACGAAGAACACCGGUGGCGAAGGCAGCCUGCUGGACAGUAACUGACGUUGAGGCUCGAAAGCGUGGGGAGCAAACAGGAUUAGAUACCCCAGUAGUC
rnacentral:rRNA from 1 species